rnacentral:rRNA from 1 species
UACGUAGGGGGCAAGCGUUGUCCAGAUUUAUUGGGCGUAAAGAGCGUGUAGGCGGCCAUGUAGGUCCGUUGUGAAAACUCGAGGCUCAACCUCGAGACGCCGAUGGAAACCAUAUGGCUAGAGUCCGGAAGAGGAGAGUGGAAUUCCUGGUGUAGCGGUGAAAUGCGCAGAUAUCAGGAAGAACACCCGUGGCUAAGGCGGCUCUCUAGUACGGUACUGACGCUGAGACGCGAAAGCGUGGGGAGCGAACAGG